CGGCCACAUAACAUAGAAAUAGCGAUUCUCGUACGAUCCCCGGAGUUAACCAACUUCGAGACUGGUCAGUACCUAGAUAGGUGACCACUUGGGAAUACCAGGUGCUGUCAG